UUUAAAGUCGGGCCUGCCCAGUGAUUAGAUUAAAUGGCCGCAGUAUAUUGACUGUGCAAAGGUAGCAUAAUCAUUAGUUUCUUAAUUAGAAGCUGGUAUGAAUGGUUUGAUGAAAAAUUGACUGUCUCUUAUUUAUAAGUUGAAUUUUAUUAUUGAGUUAAAAAGCUCAAAUUUUUUAGAAAGACGAGAAGACCCUAUAGAGUUUUAUAUGUGAAUGUUAUUAGAGUGAUUGGGUUUGACAUUUCUAGCGCUUUUAUGUAUUUUGUUGGGGUGAUGUGAAAAUUUGAGAAACUUUUUUAUUAUUUUUACACUUGUUUGUGACUUUAUGAUCCUUUGUUUGAGAUUAAAAGAUUAAAUUACCUUAGGGAUAACAGCGUAAUUUCUUUUGAGAGUUCUAAUCGAUAAAGAAGUUUGCGACCUCGAUGUUGGAUUAAAAUUUAUGUAAGGUGUAGUAGCUUUAUUAUUGGGUCUGUUCGACCUUUAAAAUUUUACA
rnacentral:rRNA from 1 species